GCAUCGAGCAAUGAUAAGUUGUGUGGAGGUGACGCGCGGUGGUGAUGACGGUAGUGCUGGGACGACGACCUGACAGUCAUUCCGCCGACGACCACCAACACCAACUGACGACAACCUUCGGCAACAACAACAAGUCACCAUGUCAGGCUAUGGACAAUAUCCGCCAGGCCAGUACCCACCCGGACAGUAUCCACCGUCACAAUACCCACCAGGACAGUACCCGCCUGGACAGUAUCCGCCAUCCCAAUACCCACCAGGACAGUACCCACCUCAAGGGGCGAACGUGGAGGUCGUGGUGAAGGAGAAGCGUAACAAGGGCGGUGGUGUGGUGAAGGAGAAGGUGAUCAUAAAGGAGAAGCCGAACGUGGUCAUUGUCAAGGAGCGUGCGCCUCCUCCGCCGCGCCCCAAGGUCGUCGUGAAGGAGACGGUGGUCAUCGAGGAGAAGCACCGAGGCGGAGGGGAAAUCCUGGGGGCCGCCGCUCUGGGGGUUGGGGUGGCGGUGGCGGAAGCUGCGCUCGAGGGUGACCGCCACCACCACCACCACCAUCGUCACCACCACCACCACUAACCGGGGAGAGCGAUCCGGCCUGCCGUAGAUCGUGCAUAUAUUCACCACGAUUCUCGUUACUACUACUCCUACUCCUACUACCACUACUACUACUAUCAAGAAUAUGGAUGUAUGAAAAUGAUAACCGUAGAAAUAAGGCCAAGUUAUGUGAUUCGGAACGUCAUAAUUGAAUAGGUGGAUAGAUACGUAAGAAAAAAAAAUAAUGGAGAAGAAGUGGAGCAUGCAGACCAAUAUAUGUGAUUUGGAACGUCAUGAGUUAAUAAAAGGUGAAAAUAUAAGCAAAAUAAAUGGAUUAGAAGAGGAGCAAGUAAGGGAUGCAGGGUGAGGAAGGGCGAGGCAGGGUGAAGAGGCAGGGCAAGGGAACAGAAAGGCAGUAAGGGAUCAGGGUGAGGAAGGGUGAGGCAGGGUGAAGAGGCAGGGCAAGGGAACAGAAAGGCAAUAAGGGUAAGGAUCCUCUCAUUCCCUUCAUCCUUUCCUUCUCUCCUCUCCUUCCCUUCACCUUCUCCUCCUUUCCUCUCAUUCCCUUCAUCCUUUCCUUCUCUCCUCUCCUUCCCUUCACCUUCUCCUCCUUUCCUCUCAUUCCCUUCAUCCUUUCCUUCUCUCCUCUCCUUCCCUUCACCCUCUCCUCCUUUCCUCUCAUUCCCUUCAUCCUUUCCUCUUCUCCUUUUAACUCCUUCACCCUCUCCUCCUCUCCCUUCACCCUCUCUCCUCCCCCUUUACUUUUUCCAUCAGCCAUCUCAACUGUCAGACAUUAUAAUUCCAUGGAUGCACCCUGAAAAUAUACCUCAACAGCCAGUACGUCAGCCAUUUCAUCAGCCUGUCAGCAAGCCCUCUCUUCAGCCAUCCCAGCCAUGUGUCAGCCAAUCAACCCGUCACCUUGUCACCUAUAUAGUCCACCUGUCAGCCAGACCCGUCAAUACAUCACCCAGUCUGUCGGUCAAUCUGUCAGCAAGUCCGUCAGUAUAUUACCCAGUUAGCCCGUCACCUUGUCAGUCACCCUGCGCGGUUCACCAGUCAUCCAGUCAUCCAGUAAAUAAUCCAGUCAACCAGUAGCCAUACCAUCUCGCCCAACCAUCCCGUCAGGUCAUCCAGUCAUCCAGUCCGACGGUAGGUAGCUAUAUCGCCUCGCCCAGUCACCCCUGUCAUCCACUCCGCCCGUCCCCUAGCGUGGUUCACCAGUCAUCCAGCCUGUCACUACAUAGCCAGUUAACCAGUAGCCGUAUCACCCGUCAGUCAGUCCACCCUUCCCGUCAGUCACUUCGCCCGUCACCAUACAACAAAGGUCAGUCUAGCCGCGCCGUGCAGCCACCCUGUUAACCCCUGCUGGGCCCCGGCGGACCUGACCCUCCUGACACCCUUGCCACGGCCCUCAUCUACAGCAUUAUUCACCUGCCCGCGUGUGGUGACCCAUGUAAGCACCUGUAGCCCCGCCCCGCCCCGCCCCGACCAGACGUGACCCCCCCCCAAAUACCUGAUACUACUUUCUACAUUGCAACACCAUCCCACCCCGCCUCCUCCCCGCUAAACAAAUGACGCCGAUUCAUGAACUGCCCCGCCCCACCCCGUCCUGCCCCGCCAAACACCUGACACUGGUUCCCGCAUCGCCCCCCCCCUCCCCUCCACCCACCAGCCAUCCCUUCAAGAACGAAUGUGAGGGAGCAACAGACAGCGAUAAUAAAGAGUGUCAGCAUG